rnacentral:rRNA from 1 species
AUAUCAAUAAGCGGAGGAAAAGAAACCAACAGGGAUUGCCCCAGUAACGGCGAGUGAAGCGGCAAUAGCUCAAAUUUGAAAUCUGGCUCUUUCAGGGUCCGAGUUGUAAUUUGCAGAGGGCGCUUUGGUGUCGGCAGCAGCCUAAGUUCCUUGGAACAGGUCAUCAUAGAGGGUGAGAAUCCCGUAUGUGGCUGCUUGUCGUCUCCGUGUAAAGCCCCUUCGAUGAGUCGAGUUGUUUGGGAAUGCAGCUCUAAAUGGGAGGUAAAUUUCUUCUAAAGCUAAAUAUUGGCCAGAGACCGAUAGCGCACAAGUAGAGUGAUCGAAAGAUGAAAAGCACUUUGGAAAGAGAGUCAAAAAGCACGUGAAAUUGUUGAAAGGGAAGCGCUUGCAGCCAGACGUGCCCGUAGUUGCUCAUCCGGAGUUUUCUCCGGUGCACUCUUCUAUGGGCAGGCCAGCAUCAGUUCGGGCGGUUGGAGAAAGACCUGUGUCAUGUAGCUCUCUUCGGGGAGUGUUAUAGGGCAGGUGGAAUGCAACCAGCCUGAACUGAGGUCCGCGCAUCUGCUAGGAUGCUGGCGUAAUGGCUGUAAGCGGCCCGUCUUGAAACACGGACCAAGGAGUCUAACAUCUAUGCGAGUGUUUGGGUGUCAAGCCCGAGCGCGUAAUGAAAGUGAACGGAGGUGGGAACCCCUUGGGGUGCACCAUCGACCGAUCCUGAUGUCUUCGGAUGGAUUUGAGUAAGAGCAUAGCUGUUGGGACCCGAAAGAUGGUGAACUAUGCCUGAAUAGGGUGAAGCCAGAGGAAACUCUGGUGGAGGCUCGCAGCGGUUCUGACGUGCAAAUCGAUCGUCAAAUUUGGGCAUAGGGGCGAAAGACUAAUCGAACUAUCUAGUAGCUGGUUCCUGCCGAAGUUUCCCUCAGGAUAGCAGUAACGUUUUCAGUUUUAUGAGGUAAAGCGAAUGAUUAGAGGCCUGGGGGUUGAAACAACCUUCACC